AUACAUACAAACACACCUACCCAACUCAUGCCAUGCAUAAAUAUACAUGAUACAGACACAUUUUGGUAAUGUGAUUUAUUUUUGUAUUAUUUGUCUAAUCUUCAGAACAUUAGGACGUCGAGCUCGAUGGGAAGACAAUCAAGCUGCAGAUUGGCAUGGAAAUGGAUGGUAAGUCAUCUGAAGGUAAGGAAAAGGGAUCCAUGAAGAGAUCAAAAGGAAGUUUAGGCAGCUUGAAUAUGCUUAUGGGCAUGGAUAACAGUGAGCCGGGUAAAAUAUCUGGAGCAUCUGGGAAUGGAUUUGUCUCCCAAAGUGCAAGUGAAGGUUCCAGUGAAGGAAGUGCAUAUAUGGAAGUUUUCAACUUCAGUAAAAGAUGAGUGCAUAUAUGACUUUGACACACAACAGAAGGCAAGCGGUGGGAAAGAUUCUUUAGAAGCUGAUGCGUCUAAGAAUGGGAGUUCCAUCCGUGGUCCUCAGAAUGGUGUGGCUCGCAGUCCAUCACAAACAAUGUUGAAUCAAACAAUGCCUGUCAUGCCAAUGGCAACACUUGUGCUCUUCACUACAGUCCGGGAUUCUUUAGGAUUAACAUAUGACGUAUCCUUUGAGCUAAGCCAGUUUGAUAGGUUGAAACUCAGGUGGUAUGUGGUCUCAAUAACUUCAACUCCUGGCAAGGUCUAUAAAGCUGUUGUGUUGAUGCAUGUAAGAAUGUUCUGAGAGGUUUACAUGACAGCAAGAUUGCCCAAAGGAAGUUGGAUCGGCGCUCACAGCCGCCGUCACAGUUGCAGAGAUUCUGAAGAAAAAAGGGCUGGCUAUUGAGAAGAGGAUUUUGAUGUCUACAGUUGACAUGAAGGAUGAAUCCAAGGGCCGUCUCAUUCCAAAAGCGAAGAUUGAGGUAUUGCUGGGGAAGACUGAGAAAUUCGAUGAUCUGAUUGUUGUCGUUGCUGCCAAAGGGAGGCAGUUGGAGACAAUAAAGCAUGAUGGCAAACCAUAGCUCUGGAGUUCCAUCAUAUUCUGAUUUUCAUUUCUUUUUUCCUCCUGGUGUCCUGUUUAAGCGAUAGAGGUUAUGGAAUUUUCAAGUAGAGCUGCUACUGUCAUUAACUGAAAAGAGCAGGGUUGAGAGAGGCCUUUUUCUUUUCUCCUUUUAUGGGAGUUGUUGAUGAUACAGACAAUCUGUUGUUUGGUGGUCAGACUGAUGUUGUAUUGUUUGAGUCUUGUUUCAGCA